UCUUUUCUGCUCCUUGCGUUAUUUCAGGAGUAAUAACUGAUGAUAGGGGCAUACUUUAUUCUUCGGAUAAUUAAUGAAAAACAGUUUUGGUGAUUUUUUAUGGGUUCGGUGAAAUAAUAUAUAUAUAUAUAUAUACCAGAGGGUCAGCGGAGUAGGAUCAAACGGACAGAUAGGAAGUAAGAAUGCAGUAUGAUUAAUG
rnacentral:lncRNA from 1 species